ACUUAAUGGAGGCUUUGCUCUAUGGAAUGAGCUGAGCUGGGGUACAUGGAGCACUUAGUGGAUAUUGGUUCAACUAAGAAUCCUGGUGAUGCAUGCCACCCUUGGCAGGCUUCCAGUUCUCAGUGGCUCAGAUCUAUUCUUCUUGAGAAGACCAAGGCCUGACUCUUCUGUGCCACAGUGUCCUCAUCUGUCUCCUGGCCUGGGGUGCCCUCUCCAGGUAGUGGUAUGAGAUAGGACAGAUAAGGGCAGCAAAAACUCGAGGAAGGUUCAGCCCACUGGGAGUAGUGAAACCUAGAUGCUUCAUUCAGUCCAGCCAUUAUAGAACCAGAUGGAUCCUCUCAAAAGAGCUAAAUGCCUCCAGCACAGGCAUUUGUGAUCUUACAGAUGGGGAAUAGAGAGGGCUCAUCUGUCUUCUCCUCCAGUGGAAACAUUCACCAAGACACCCAUCCAAGGCGCAGCAUCUGGGGUUUUUCUACUAACUAUUGAUAAAGGAGCUGGCCCCUCUGGACUCAGGUUUAGUCCAGGACUGUCACAUUUCACUGGAAGGCUGGGCCACGGCAGGUUUAUUACAUCACAGGCUGGAGAAAAUAAACUUUAACAUGGUUGCACUGGAAGAGGUGUGUACUUUUCAGAACAGCAAGAUUCUUGGUCUCCUGCAUCGUUCAAAAUGCAAUGGCAAUCCAGACAGAAAAGCACUAAAUAAAAUGGGUAAGCUGGAG
rnacentral:lncRNA from 1 species